GUCUUGUAAUUGGAAUGAUGGUGACUUAAACCCUCACCAGAGUACCAAUUGGAGGGCAAGUCUGGUGCCAGCAGCCGCGGUAAUUCCAGCUCCAAUAGCGUAUAUUAAACUUGUUGCAGUUAAAAAGCUCGUAGUUGAAUUUCAGCGUUUCGCGUGUGCCUCUUUUGGCCCAUCUCGUCUCGCUUUUUUUAUUACUUUGAGAAAAUUAGAGUGUUUCAAGCAGGCUUUUGUCUUGAAUACUUGAGCAUGGAAUAAUAGAGUAGGACCUUGGUUCUAUUUUGUUGGUUUUGUUACCUUGGUAAUGGUUAAUAGGAACGGUUGGGGGCAUUCGUAUUUAACUGUCAGAGGUGAAAUUCUUAGAUUUGUUAAAGACGAACUACUGCGAAAGCAUUUGCCAAGGACGUUUCCAUUAAUCAAGAACGAAAGUUAGGGGAUCGAAGACGAUCAGAUACCGUCGUAGUCCUAACCAUAAACUA
rnacentral:rRNA from 1 species